GAGGCCCAAGCCCAUCACUAAAUAUUAAUCAGCCUUAUUAGCGUAAAUUAGAGUUAAGGCAGAUUAGCUCAUCAGAUCAACAUGUAGCUCUAUCACUUUUUAGUCAGCUGCUUCACCAACCGACUUAUAUCAGUAUAAACAUGGUGAACUAUCGUAAUUUCAUUUUUCCCCAUUCUGCAACCCUACACAAGCAAAUACCCAUCCAAACACAAAUCAUUCACAAUUCUUCACAGCGGUUUGCUUCCAUCAUUCACAAUUCACAGCAGUUUGCUCAUCAAAGAAGGUUAAGCUGUGAUGCAGAUGGAUGUCAGCAGAGCAAAGCUUUUGAUAUAUAAGUACUAAAUUAGGCUCAGGAUUCCAUGUCUUCAUACAUGUAAUCCACUUAAGCUAUUCCGCUGCAACGCUUGUGCGUUUUACUUUAUUGAUGUGUUGCAAAGAUUUCAAACUAAUAGCUUACAGAAUUAUGUCACUUGAUACUUAGACAACUUGUCGUUAUGUUAUUGUGAGUUGUCUGCUUUUGAGUUUAGAAAAGAUUGCUUAUGAUUACCAAAUAUUUUGGUAAAUUA